rnacentral:tRNA from 1 species
GGAGGAGUGGUCGAGUGGUUUAAGGCAGCGGUCUUGAAAACCGCCGUACCGGGUGACCGGUACCGUGGGUUCGAAUCCCACCUCCUCCGCCA